rnacentral:rRNA from 1 species
AGACUUGUACUUGGUGGCGACCGGCGCACGGGGUGCGUAACGCGUAUGCAACCUACCUUAUACUGAGGGAUAGCCCAGAGAAAUUUGGAUUAAAUACCUCAAUAGUAUCAUUUUGAAGGCAAUCUGAGAAUGAUUAAAGAUUUAUCGGUAUAAGAUGGGCAUGCGUAAGAUUAGUUAGUUGGUGAGGUAACGGCUCACCAAGACUUCGAUCUUUAGGGGUUCUGAGAGGAUGAUCCCCCACACUGGUACUGAGAUACGGACCAGACUUC